AACAUUUCAGCACAAAUAUACAACAUUUCAACACAAAUAUACAAUAUUUCAACACAUUUAUAUAACAUUUCAGCAUAUGUACACAUCAUUUCGGCACAUUAUUUCAGCAUUUCAGCACAUAGUCAUUGUAGCGCCCAAGAUGUGAUUAUAUCCCAAUCACGUGAUGAACUCGUGAUCAGGGCACAAUCACAUUUCGAGCGCAUAGCAAGAUGGACAUCAUUACAACAUACCAUGUACUGAAUAGAUGAGAAUACAAGAUAAAGGCUUAAACUCGCCACAAGAUACAACAUGAAUACAACAGUUCAUCAAAACACAGCAAUCAUCAUACAGAAGAGCAAGAUCCGGGUACGGAUGAAAACAAACGAAAAAGAAGAACGACAUCCACCCUGCUAAUCCCAGGCUCUUCCGACCCGGAACCUAUUCCUUGCUCAAAUAAGAAAAGUAGAAGAACUCCAAAACAAGCAAGCAUCGCUCUCACGUCAUGAUCAUCGCAUUACCUGUACCUGCAACUGUUGUUGUAGUAAUCUGUGAGUCAUGAGGACUCAGCAAUCCCAUUACCAUGGGUAUCAAGACUAGCAAAGCUUAAUGGGUAUGGAAAGGAUAAGUGGUGAGGUUGUAGCAAGCGGCUAACCAAUGUAUGGUGGCUAACUUACGAGUACAAGAGUAAGAUGAGAAGCUGCGCAACGGUUGCAAACUAGUAAUGAUCAAGAAGUGAUCCUGAAGUACUUACGAGUCAAACAUAACCCCACCGUGUUCUCUUCCCGAACCUCGUCGAAAAGAGAUCAUCACAGUUACGCACGCGGUUGGUGUAUUUUAUUUGAGUUUAGUUCAAGUCCUCUACAACCGAUAUUAACAAAUUCCCAUCUGCCACAUAACUACGGGCAUGGCUCUCGAGAGUUUAAGCCCUGCAGGGGUGUCCCAACUUAGCCCAUGACAAGCUCAUGAUCCACGGAGACAAUCCUCCAUAUAGGAACCCUCCGAUCAGACUCAGAAUCCCGGUGCACAAGACAUUUUGACAAUAGUAAAACUAAUCCAGCAAGACCUUCGGGCGUGCCGACACCUUGAUAGUAGCUGCGCGUAUCUCGUCUCAGGCCACGUCCGGAUGGGACAUCCUACGAGUAAAACCAGAUCCUCGAGUUUCCUUGUGAUGGCCCCGCAGUCUACCCAUUUGGGACCAACACCAACAACACUGCCCCCCCUAUAUUAGGUUGAAUAACAAACCUCGGGUAGCGCUAACUCCCUAUGCGUCAAAUUUAUUAUCAUGUUUAGUUAUUAUGUUAAGCAAAUGGUAAAACCAAUGUUGGGCCUUGCUUGAAGAGUUUUAUUCAAAGCGAACUGUCAAGAGGGGCCCAUAAACCCUCGCCGUUUUAGGGACGCAAGAUCAAGGAACAUACCACCGGUAUGACAGAAACUAGGGCGGUAAGAGUGGAACAAAACACCAGGCAAAAGGCCGAGCCUUCCACCCUUUACCAAGUAUAUAGAUGCAUUAAUUAAAUAAGAGAUAUUGUGAUAUCCCAUGACAUCCAUGUCCCAACAUGGAACAACCUGCACUGCACCUGCAACUAGCAAUGCUAUAAGAGGGGCUGAGCAAAGCGGUAACAUAGUCAAAUAAUGCUUUGCUAGGAUGGGUAAAAAGGUUAGAGGCUAUCAUGGCAAUUUGGAAGGCUCAAUAAACAAGUGGUAGGUAGCGUGACAUAGCGAUAGCAUCGAGACAACUACCAUAGCAAAGAUAGUAGUGAGAUCCAAGGUGACAGUCAUCUUGCCUAAAAUCCUACUAGGAAGAAGAACGAGUCCAUGAAGAAGACGAGCCAACGUAGUCGAACGGAUCCUCACAAUCGUAACGUCACCAGAACUAUCAAGAAGAAGCACAACCAGAAAGAAGCAAACAACAUAGUAAACAACCAUCACAUAAACAUGGCAUGAUGCACAAUCAUAUAUGAUGCAUGUCCAUUUUAAUGAGUCAUGGCAUGGCAAAGUGCACAAACAAUACUACAAGUUAAGUGGAGCUCAAUAUGCAACGAGUUGCAUAUUGACGGAACUUCACAAAAAUUAUUUAGUUCUCUCCCAUUUAGGUACUCAACAAUAUUAAAUGUUGUUAAACAUGGCAAGGGGGUGAAGUCUAAGUAAACUAACUAUUUAGGCAAGCUUAAAUGAGGUCAGAAAUAACAAACAACAAUUCCGGAAAACCCUCAUAUGCAUAUUUUGAAUUUGUACUGAUCUGCCCUAAACACAAUUUUAGAGUUGUUAAACAUGUAAAGUAAUGACACCAUGUUACACUAUGCAUUUUCUAGACCAUCUACAUAUAAAGUUUAUUUAAUUUGGAGCUACAGUUAAUUAGUUAUGAAAUAAAGCAUUUUAGCAUGUUAUUUGAGCAAAUUAAUGGAGACAACAAUUUAAAAUUUUUUAAAUGUUGUUAUCAUGAUGCAGAUGACAUAAACAAGUUUUAUGCAAUUUUAUGAAAAUGUUGACAUUUAAUAUGGUAGGGGCAUUUGUUGCCAUGGCAGAAAGAAACGGGUGCCAUGACGGCGAAAAUGGAAAUGGUUCCACGGCGGCGAAAAUGGAAAUGAUGCCACGGCAACAUUUCGAUGAUCCGCUAGCUCGAUUGAGAUAUCGAUGCAAAGGAACAAGGGGUGGAUGUGCGCAUGCAAAAGUGAUGGGGAGUGAUCCCGGCAACCGGGUGUCCCACGUGUCGGUGGCAUGGCAAACGGGGAACGCGCAAGCGACAAUUCGGACACGGCGCAAAAACGAGUAUCUCAUACAACACACAUAUAUUUGUUCACGGCGUCGUCUCGGUAGUUAUACCUUCGAACGUUCAUUUCGGGGCUAACGGGUUCGAUGCGGUGUAGUUGUUCACUGGUCUUCAUGGGAAGUAGUCGUACACGGCGAUGGUAGUGGAAGUAGUCGUACACGUUCUGUAGAUGUUCAGGUUCACAAUGAGGAACUUGACAUCCACGGGGUCUUGGAGGGUCGGCGGUAGUGAUACACACGUCAUGGUGGGAGUAGUGGUUCACGCCGCGGUAGUCGAACUUGCCGCUUGUGGUACACGGGUCUUCGGCGACGGUGGUCGUACUUGGCGAAAUCCACAAAGGGGUCUUGGCGAUUCCGAAGAUGGUGGUAAAGGUAUGGCGCAUCACCAUGUAGACGUACUUGGCGAACCCAAAGUGCUCCUGCUCGGGGACGGUGCAAUGGAGGCAGUGUCUUGCGGGCAAUGAGGAAAGGAGCACGGGCUCGCUAGGCUACGCUGGAGGCUUGCAACAGCAGCGUCUUGCAAGGAGACCGGCACCAUGGACGAGGUUCAAACCUCGAGGCCGAUGCAGGAGGUCGCGGGAGGUGGUUGGGGCGGCGACUCCAAUGGUCGGCCGGCGAGGCCGCGGCCCUGGCGCAGAGGAGAUGCGCAGCUGCACUUGCGGGGAAGCGGCGGCGCAAUAGCUCGCAGGGAGGACGGAGAAGGAGUGGAGGGCCAGGACGGCACGGGGCUGCAGGAUCCGGCAAGAGGCGGCGGCGUCUUGAGCUCCUGGUGGCCGGGAGGUAGUGCAAGGGCAGGAGGGGAGGGCGACGGGGUUUGGAGGAGGACGAACAAGGGGAGCUCAUGUCCCUGGCGAUGCGUGUGGGUGGCGGCGGUAGUGGGAGGACGAGAGGGAGCGGGAAGAUGGGAUCGGGAGAGAGAUGAGCGAGGGGAUCGAGAGACGGGUGUGGCGGCGCUGCACGGAGGGAGAGGAUGAGAUCGAGAGAGGGAGGGAUCGGGGUCGUGGCAGCUAGGGUUAGAGGUUGCAUGGGCUUAGGAGGACAUGGGCCGGCCUAGGCAUAGGUUGCAGAUGGGCUGGGCUCUCUCUCUCACUCUGAAGAAAAUAAAAACAAGACAGAGAUAAGAAAGAAAAGAAUGAGAGGUUAGGGGAAGAAGUUGGACACACAGAUAAUUUUCCCGGACUCACAAAAAUGAGCUUUAUCCAAGAAAAUAGAAGUUUGCACGAAUGCAAGAUUUAAAUUCAAACUCAUUUGAAUUUAAUUCAAAUUGUUUGAACUAUGACAAGGUUUAGGAGUGGCCAAAAUGUUGGGAAUUUAGGAAGAGCCUCGAUAAAUGGGAAAAGAAUUAAGGAGAAAGUCUGGAGAACAAACUUGAAGCAAACAGGCAUGAGAAUUAAAUUGCAAGUGGGUUUAUGGGUGAUUCAGAAAUAGUGGAAUAUUUAUUAGCUUCCUAAAUAUUGGGAGGGUAUGUUUUGAAGAGAAUUUCACCAUGUGAAUUUCCCUCAAUUUAAAUGGAUCGAAGACCCAUACAAUUUAUUUAGUUGAGUUUUAAAAAAAGGUUGCAUGAUGACAUGAUGCAAUGCAAAUGAUGCAAUGAUGAAUGCAACAAACAAAACAAAACACACGAUGAAACUCAGAAUCCAUGGAAGGCAUUUGGAGCGCCGGUCUUGGGGCGUCACAACUCUCCUCCACUUACAAGAGAUCUCGACCCGAGAUCUAUGGGUGGCACCGGAGAGAAGCGAAAGAGAAAGGGGUAAAACAAAGUUGCUUGUUUGACAAACGAGUGAAACCACAAACCUUAAGAGGUUGAACAAAUUGAAAGAAAGAAUACAAUAGCGAUGAACGAGAUUGCAAACACUAUGUUAAACAAGAGGAAUAAGGAAUAUGACGAGAACCAAGAGCUUAAGGUACAAGAUAGACUUUGAAACCACUCCGGUUAAGCAAGAUGAGAAAGGAAGAAUUCAGGCAGCACUCCGGUUGAAAAGAGCGGCAAGACUUGAUAAGAUGAAAGAACUUGAAAUGAGAACACAACACUUCGGUUAAAUGGAUAAACAAGGUAAAGAACAUGAUCUUGGCAAAGCGAGAUGAUGGGACGAAGAGAGCAACAUUACAAUGCCUCCGGUAGAAAUGAAAAGAACGGAGAAGAAAACAACAUGUUCUACCUCAAAUGAAUUUGAUAGAGCAUCCUUAAAAAGAAGGAUUGAACGGAGUUUUUGGAAAACCAACAACGAAAAGAAUAAGCUUGUAGUGGGAUUAUGGAAAACAUCUCAAAACUAGAGGUGAAAUUCUGCCACUAACGAAAACAAUUGCUUGCUUGAGAUCAACGAAGAGAUGAAAACUUCUUUUGCUGAGAGGAUAGGAGAACUUGGAUCAUUGAUAAGCACCACAAAUAGCAACAUUCCUUAGGAAAGACUUUAGGUGAAAUCUAUACCAAGAUAACCUCCAACGAAGAAAUUGAUUGGUUGAAACGAAGUCCUGAACAAAGAGAAAAUGAUGGAUUUAAAACAUCUCAUUCUUGAAAACUUGUGAAUCAUGAACCAUGAAGGGAAAUUGUCAAAAAAGACAUAACACCACCUCAAAAGAUAAUGUAAAAGAACUGCACUUUGGGAUGCAAGAUGAAGAAUACCUAAGCUCCAACAAGAAUCUCGAAGAACACUUCGAGAAUGGAUUAAAUCUUUGAUGAACCACCAUGUAGAAACUCUCGAAGAACUCUGGAUAGGUAAAAAGAUGGUUGCAAAGAAAAGAAACUUGAAAACAAUAAGAUGAAGCCUUGCAAUGAUUUAGAUGGAGCUUAGAGAUGAGAUAACCGAUACAACUUGGAACUCCAGAAAAGAAAGAUGAACACUUGAAACCAAGAAUUACUUCAUCAUGAAUAAACUCUGGAAUAAGGAAUUAAAUCACCUUGAGGUGCAAGAAUAAGGAUUAUGUUACGCUUAUCCUUCACCAAUUUAAAUUGAUGACAAUCAACGGAUUUGGCAUAAUACUUAUUCUUAUUGAGAAGGUUUAAGAGAGAUAUAGCGCAAACUUGAAUAAGGUCUUCAGCGAACCACCGGAAGGAUUUGAAAACGAACAUAGCAAAGGGACGAAUCACUGGGGAGAAUAAGAAAAACAAAUGAAGAUACUUGGGGAAAUAUAGAUAUAUGAGAACGAAGAGAUCACGAGAUGAAAGCUGAGAAUGGGUAAUAUUCAGAAAUGAUGGCCUUCGGAUGACCGAGAAAGGAAAGCAACUCCUGAAAUGCAUCGGAUGGGUGAAAGGAAUUCUCAUAAUCGAAAACAAUUAUGAGAGGAUGGCAUAAGCUAGAACUAUGAAUCCUCAAGAGAACGGACCAAGAUUAAGGAGAAAUCCUUCUUUGGUCUUCAACGCUGAGAAAGAGAACGAAGAACUCCAUCAUGAGUUGUUGAGGCACUCUGGAAUGAAGAAUAAAAAGGUUGAACCAAUGAUGAAAAGAAUUUGAAAGUGAUCCUGGAGAGGGCAUCUGACUGAUGUAAGUUCAUUCUUCCGUCAAACUUUGAAAAGAAUUUGAGAAUAACUCCGGGAAAGAUCCUGGGAAAAGCCCUGUGGGUUAGGGGGCCACUCAAAGAAACACCGUUGAAAUGGUUUUUAAAGAGAGAUUGCACCGGUUGAACUAAGUGGCUUGAAUGAGAUAACAACCUCAAAAUACAACGCACAGAUCUUCAAUGAAGAGACGAGCCUUCUGAUAUAUCUUCAGCACUCUGAAACAAAUGAAUAGGGAGAGGUGGACGAUUAGGGGGUGCACCGGCAUGAGAAAGCAUUUGGAAAAAGAGGAAAUGGUAUGAUCAACACCGAAAGUUUGAAAUGAAUCCACCGGAGAAGAAAAAGAAUGAAGAAUGAUGAACUUGAAACUCCUGACCAUCUUCAUGACAAUCACCGGAUAAGAACACUGAAGGAAAGAAUGAAGAGACUUCCCAUCAAUAAAAAGGAUACUUGAUUAAGAAAUCUGAGUCCUUGAAGAAAAGGGUGGGAGGGCGGGAAAAACAAAGGCAGCUUGGGACGGAUGAAACGAACACCGUUGCAAAGAACUGAGAAUUGAUCUCGCGAAUGUUGAAAUGAUCGGAUCCACUUGAAGAGAAGCACGCUGGUUGGACAAGAGUUGACAUGACAAUCUCGAUUAUCAUGAAGAAUUAGCACUCCCAUAGAAAUAUGAGAACAUCGCUUGUAAUAAGGUAUGGAAUCGACACUUUACAUUGAAGCAACUCGAAUACCACAACACAAAAUAAAACAAAGGAUUGGCUUGCAGAAUAAGCCGAAAACAAACAUAUGAUAGAGAUUUUGUCUGAAGUUUUCGUGGUGGGGCCCGCACGGGCUCGAUCGUACAACACCAUCAUGUACAAGGUAGUGCACAUGACAUACGAAGUGUCCCCGAGUCAGCACAUCCAAGGACUCUUUAAGACACAACGAGACCACUGUAAAACCAACCGUGGAUAGGUGGACCACUAGACGUUGAACCCCAAUCUCAUAUCAUGCAUCUGUCGGAAAGAUAUCCUAGGUAACUACUUGAAUUCCCACCUAUGAACUUCUGAAAUUCUUCGGUUAUGCAAUCUGGUGUUGGGGAUAUAGGGAGGCACAAAUAUCUCACACAACUAACAAAUCCUACACUCCAACUGCAUCCAUCCGUCAACACAUAACCAAGAAAACCUUGGAAAUCGUGUAUCUCAGACCUUCGAAAACAUCCGAUAUACUAGAUGUGGCAAUACAUCUGAUCGCUCUCCCCAGUACUGGGUGUCGUCAAACUACUCUCACCACAAAGAGUAUAGAAGCAUUUUUGAUGUCGACGACCUCUAGUAUUCCAGAACUGAAAUGAUAAGCACUGUGAUAAAAACACCUUAGAGCUCAACUCCUUGGGACACUGCCACAACCCCUAAAUGUCAGGAGGCACCAAGACAGAGUUCCCGUCACAAUGAUACCGGUCCGAUUCCAAGAUACCCGCGUGACACUAAAAAAUAAUUUUGAGUGAAAAAGAGAAGAGUAAAGUCAAAACAUCUACGUCAGGUGUCCUCACCAGAGCGACGAAGGGGAUAAGGAGUAAAAAUAAUUCCUACUCUCCAAUAUAACUAGACUCAAAAUAGUUUUUUUCUAGACUCAACAGCGGCAACGGUUCGAUCAAUUAAGGGGGCUCCUAAGGUCGGUAAGGCUUUGAUACCAACUUGUAGCGCCCAAGAUGCGAUUCUAUCCCAAUCACGUGAUGAACUCAUGAUCGGGGCACAAUCGCAUUUCGAGUGCAUAGCAAGGUGGACGUCAUUACAACAUACCAUGUACUGAAUAGAUGAGAAUACAAGAUAUAGGCUUACACUCGCCACAAGAUACAAAAUGAAUACAACAGUUCAUCAAAACAUAGCAAUCAUCAUACAGAAAGAGCAGGAUCCGGCUACAGAUGAAAACAAACAAAAAAGAAGAACGACAUCCACCCUGCUAAUCCCAGGCUCUCCUGAGCCGGGACCUAUUCCUUGAUCGAAGAAGAAGAAGCAGAAGAACUCCAAAACAAGCAAGCAUCGCUCUCACAUCGUGAUCAUCGCAUUACCUAUACAUGCAACUAUUAUUGUAAUAAUCUGUGAGUCACGAGGACUCAGCAAUCCCAUUACCAUGGGUAUCAAGACUAGCAAAGCUUAAUGGGUAUGGAAAGGAUAAGUGGUGAGGUAGCAGCAAGCGGCUAAGCAAAUGUAUGGUGGCUAACUUAUGAGUACAAGAGUAAGAUGAGAAGCUACACAACAGUCGCAAACUAGUAAUGAUUAAGAAGUGAUCCUGAACUACUUACGAGUCAAACAUAACCCCGCCGUGUUCUCUUCCCGAACCUCGUCGAAAAGAGACCGUCAUGGUUAUGCACGCGGUUGGUGUAUUUUAAUUUAGUUUAGUUCAAGUCCUCUACAACCGGAUAUUAACAAAUUCCCAUCUGCCACAUAACCGCGGGCACAGUCCUCGAAAGUUUAAACCCUGCAGGGGUAUCCCAACUUAGCCCAUGACAAGAUCAUGAUCUACGGAGACAAUCCUCCAUAUCGGGACCAUCCGACCAGACUUAGAAUCCAGAUGCACAAGACAUUUCGAGAAUGGUAAAACUAAUCCAGCAAGACCUCCUGGCAUGCCGACACCCUGAUACUAGCCACGCGUAUCUCAUCUCAGGCCACGUCCGGAUGGGACAUCCUACGAGUAAAACCAGAUCCUCGAGUUUCCUCAUGGUGGCCCCGCAGUCUACCCGUUUGGGACCAACACCAACAGCACUGCCCCCCUAUAUUAGGUUGAAUAAUGAACCUCGGGUAGCGCUAACUCCCUAUGCGUAAAAUUUAUUAUCAUGUUUAAUUAUUAUGUUGGGCAAAUGGUAAAACCAAUGUUGGGCCUUGCUUGAAGAGUUUUAUUCAGACAGAACUGUCAAGAGAGGCCCAUAAACCCUCACUGUGUUAGGGACGCAAAAUCAAAGAACAUAACACCGGUAUGACGAAAACUAGGGCGACAAGAGUGGAACAAAACACCAGGCAAAAGGCCGAGCCUUCCACCCUUUACCAAGUAUAUAGAUGCGUUAAUUAAAUAAGAGAUAUUGUGAUAUCCCAUGAGAUCCAUGUCCCAACAUGUAACAACCUGCACUGCACCUGCAACUAGCAACGCUAUAAGAUGGGCUGAGCAAAGCGGUAACAUAGCCAAACAACUCUUUGCUAGGAUGGGUAAAAAGGUUAGAGGCUAUCAUGGCAAUUUGGAAGGCUCGAUAAACAAGUGGUAGAUAGCACGACAUAGCGAUAGCAUCGAGACAACUAGCAUAGCAAAGGUAGUAGUGAGAUCCAAGGUGACGGCCAUAUUGCCUGAAAUCCCGCUAGGAAGAAGAACGAGUCCAUGAAGAAGACGAGC
rnacentral:lncRNA from 1 species